ACAUUACGUGUCGUGAAAAAAUACGCCAAAAAAUAUCACGUCCUGCAUAUCGCGGUUAAUCAAUUACUAUACAUUUUCUAUGAUCUUAUCAGAAACAAAAUGUUCGAGAGUAUUUGAAACUUUUAGAAAAUAAAGUUUAUAAAUUUUUGAAAUCAUUAUGAAGUCCAUUAAACGAGUAUAAAAUGAACGGUUAAAAUCGAAUGACAUCCCAAAAAUAGAUGAUCGGAUUCUUCAAUUUAAGAUCGGAGUUAUUGAUCUUUAUUUAGAUAGUGAAUAAAAUUUUCUAUCAAAAAUUCAACCUAUUUUGAUUCUUUUUCACCGUUAAACUAGCAAAUAUUUCAUACCGACCGUUAAAAAUUGUCAAUUUUGUGACCGUUUGAUCAUAAGGUAAAUGAUAUCGAAAAAUUAUAAAAUUUAAUUUCUAGAAGUUUUAAAUGCUCUAGAUAAUGUUUAACGGUAUGGAUCGUCGAUUCGGAAGCUCUAUCUCUCUCUCUCUCUCUCUCUCUCUCUCUCUAUAUAUA
rnacentral:lncRNA from 1 species